rnacentral:rRNA from 1 species
GGAGUCUGGGCCGUGUCUCAGUCCCAUUGUGGCUGAUCAUCCUCUCAAACCAGCUACUGAUCGUCGCCUUGGUGGUCCAUUACACCCCCAACUAGCUAAUCAGAUGCAGACUCAUCCCUGAGCACCGGAGUUUUCAAACAUAAUAUCUCAAUUACGCUCGUAUGGGGUAUUAAUAGUCGUUUCCAACUGCUAUCCCCCGCCUCAAGGGCAGAUUCUCUACACAUUACUCACCCGUCCGCCACUGUCCACCCACCGAAGUGAGCUUCUCGUUCGACUUGCAUGUAUGAAGCACGCCGCCAGCGUCG